AGAGUUUGAUCCUGGCUCAGGAUGAACGCUAGCGGCAGGCCUAACACAUGCAAGUCGAGGGGCAUCACGGAAAAGCUUGCUUUUCUGGUGGCGACCGGCGCACGGGUGCGUAACGCGUAUGCAACCUACCCAUUACAGGGGGAUAGCCCGGGGAAACUCGGAUUAAUACCCCAUAGUAUUAUUGAUUGGCAUCGAUUAAUAAUUAAAGAUUUAUUGGUAAUGGAUGGGCAUGCGUCUGAUUAGCUAGUUGGUGAGGUAACGGCUCACCAAGACGACGAUCAGUAGGGGGUCUGAGAGGAUGAUCCCCCACACUGGUACUGAGACACGGACCAGACUCCUACGGGAGG
rnacentral:rRNA from 1 species